GACGUAGGGCGCGAGCGUUGUCCGGAAUUAUUGGGCGUAAAGAGCUCGUAGGCGGCUUGUCACGUCGAUUGUGAAAGCCCGAGGCUUAACCUCGGGUCUGCAGUCGAUACGGGCUAGCUAGAGUGUGGUAGGGGAGAUCGGAAUUCCUGGUGUAGCGGUGAAAUGCGCAGAUAUCAGGAGGAACACCGGUGGCGAAGGCGGAUCUCUGGGCCAUUACUGACGCUGAGGAGCGAAAGCGUGGGGAGCGAACAGG
rnacentral:rRNA from 1 species